rnacentral:tRNA from 1 species
GCCGAAGUGGCGGAACUGGCAGACGCACGCGACUCAAAAUCGCGCGAGGUCACCCCUCAUGUGGGUUCGAUUCCCACCUUCGGCACGA